AUUGAACGCUGGCGGCAGGCCUAACACAUGCAAGUCGAGCGAGCGGCGGACGGGUGAGUAAUGUAUGGGGACUGCCCGAUAGAGGGGGAUAACUACUGGAAACGGUGGCUAAUACCGCAUACUAUCGGAUAACCCAUAUGGGAUUAGCUAGUAGGUGGGGUAAAGGGUCACCUAGGCGACGAUCUCUAGCUGGUCUGAGAGGAUGAGCAGCCACACUGAGACGUAGAAACGGCCCCGACUCCUACGGAGGCAGCAUUGGGAAAUAUUGCACAAGGAGCGCAUGCCGGAUGCACCCAGCCCGCUUGUAGGAAAAAGGCCUUAGGGUUGUAAGGUACUUUCAGAGAGGAGACGUUACCCGCAGAAGAAGCACCGGCUAACUCCGUGCCAGCAGCCGCGGUAAUAC
rnacentral:rRNA from 1 species